AUAUUAUACUUGGGCAUAAACUCC
rnacentral:miRNA from 1 species